rnacentral:sRNA from 1 species
ACUAAGCCCGAAAGCUCAAACCCACACACGUAUCGACACGGUUUCCUGGGUGCCUUUCGACAAGUUCGAGGGUUGGAAGCUGGGAUACGUGGAGGCCUAACC